rnacentral:rRNA from 1 species
UACGAAGGGGGCUAGCGUUGCUCGGAAUGACUGGGCGUAAAGGGCGCGUAGGCGGAUUGAUUAGUUAGGCGUGAAAUUCCUGGGCUUAACCUGGGGGCUGCGCUUAAUACAGUCAGUCUAGAGUGUGGAAGAGGGUCGUGGAAUUCCCAGUGUAGAGGUGAAAUUCGUAGAUAUUGGGAAGAAACACCGGUGGCGAAGGCGGCGACCUGGUCCAUUACUGAC